rnacentral:rRNA from 1 species
UACGGGGGGGCAAGCGUUGUUCGGAAUUACUGGGCGUAAAGGGCUCGAUAGGCGGCCAACUUAAGUCAGACGUGAAAUCCCUACGGCUUGAACCGGGGAACCUGCGUCUGAUACUGGAUGGCUGGAGGUUGGGAGAGGGAUGCGGAAUUCCAGGUGUAGCGGUGAAAUGCGUAGAUAUCUGGAGGAACACCGGUGGCGAAG